UACGAAGGGGGCUAGCGUUGCUCGGAAUCACUGGGCGUAAAGGGUGCGUAGGCGGGUCUUUAAGUCAGGGGUGAAAUCCUGGAGCUCAACUCCAGAACUGCCUUUGAUACUGAGGAUCUUGAGUUCGGGAGAGGUGAGUGGAACUGCGAGUGUAGAGGUGAAAUUCGUAGAUAUUCGCAGGAACACCAGUGGCGAAGGCGGCUAACUGGUCCAUAACUGACGCUGAGGUGCGAAAGCGUGGGGAGCAAACAGGG
rnacentral:rRNA from 1 species